AUGUAGAUUUAACUGUGAACAUUUGUAUAAUCUUAGUAUGUAUACUUUACACUGUAUCCUGGGAAAUUAAUCACUGAAGAUAAAAUCAUCAGUGAAUGUAUCACAUGUAAAAAGUGUAACAAAAUAUCAAUUCUCAAAAAGCAUUCAUUGUAUCACAGGAAUGUUGAAGGCAUGUCAGCAAGAACAGCUGCACUAGCAAACAGUAAUAAGACGAGAGUUUAUUUGUGUGCAAAGAUGACCAAUAUGAAUAGAAUUCCACAGCACCCUUCUGAGCACCUUUCCAGCCCCAAGAAAACCAGUAAAGGUGCUAUUCAAUAUAUGAAAUUUUUAAAAUUUAAAAAGAACAGCCAUAGUAACUGUGGUUCUCUAGGAUGCACUACUACCCAACAUCCCUCCUCAACACACAUUCCUGUCAGAUGUGUGGUAUCAGCACCUGAUCUGGAGAUGCACCUGUGUCCUGGGAGACCUCCUGACCAACACAGCCCACAGUAUAUAAGGGAGGAUGGGGAGAAAGCACCUCCCAAGUUCCUCUUCUGAGAAUGUAAUUUUUUCUUUGUUUUUUCUGUUUGUUUCUUUGUUUGGGAGUUUUUUCUGCCAAAGACUUCCGAGUAGGAUGGUUCUAAAGGUGCGUGGACAGAAGACACUCAGAGGGACCAGAUGUUUUGAAUAGCUGAUUUUACUUGGGAUGUUGAUCACUACAAGAACAGAACAAAAAUUCUGAAGACUUCUAAGAUUCUUUCCACCCUCCCACCAGGGGAGGGGGAGGAGCAGCUGUGUGGUGCCUGGCUGCCAACUGGGGCUAAACCAUGUAAUAGAGCUACCUAUGAGGACGCUUCAAAUUUCUUGUAAAGAAGCUGUCAGUAAUGAAAAUCUGGGAAGAAGAAGGUAGAGACAAGAACCCUCUCUUCCCAGGAAUGACCAGCUGCUAUUACCAGUUAUUCAUAAAAACGCCAAUUUUUACUCUUUCAUACAAUGUUCUGAAGCCGUCUCCUGACAAAUAAAUAGCAUCUGCACAUCAAGGUGUUAGAAAUCAGCAUAACUAACCUCUCUUACUAUUAUGUAGCAAGCCUCCCUUUACCUGAGUCACAGUCAAUGAAGGAAAUUAACGCAAAGUAGUAACUGGUGAAAAUAUGUCAAAUGCUUAAGUGACCACAGUCCUUACCUUUGAU